UACGUAGGGUGCGAGCGUUGUCCGGAAUUACUGGGCGUAAAGAGCUUGUAGGUGGUUUGUCGCGUUGUUCGUGAAAUCUCACGGCUCAACUGUGAGCGUGCGGGCGAUACGGGCAGACUAGAGUACUGCAGGGGAGACUGGAAUUCCUGGUGUAGCGGUGGAAUGCGCAGGAUAGUCAGGAGGAACACCGGUGGCGAAGGCGGGUCUCGUGGGCAAGUAACUGACGCUGAGAAAGCGAAAGGCGUGGGGAGCGAACAGGA
rnacentral:rRNA from 1 species